rnacentral:lncRNA from 1 species
UUACUUGUUUUCGUCGUACUCGCCUGUGUUUGCGCGGCGUACAUCUCGGCGGAGGUACAGUCGGAGGCAGGGAUCGAAGAAAACGAAGAAAUUCCUGCGUUCUGCCAGCUGGAACCUAGCCCUGGUCGCUGCUAUGCGUCCUUCGAUAGGUACUACUACUCUCCCACCUUUAAACAAUGUCUCCCCUUCAUCUAUGGAGGCUGCGGAGGAAACGAAAACAAGUUUUAUUCCAAAGAGGCGUGUGAAAGCACUUGUUUAAGGAAACCUUAGUGAUUUGUGAGGUAUUAAUCAAACCUACAACUAAAGACAUUACUGAAAGAAGAAAAGAAUUAAAGAAACAACUGAAAAGUUAUGAUCGGUAGGUGAUUUUCUUUUAAGGUCACAACCGGGAUUUAAAAAUGAAAUAUAUUGAAUAAU